rnacentral:rRNA from 1 species
UUCGAGCGGCCGACGUCUGAUUAGCUAGUAGGUGAGGUAAAGGCUCACCUAGGCGACGAUCAGUAGCGGGUCUGAGAGGAUGAUCCGCCACACUGGGACUGAGACACGGCCCAGACUCCUACGGGAGGCAGCAGUGGGGGAUUUUGGACAAUGGGCGAAAGCCUGAUCCAGCCAUGCCGCGUGUCUGAAGAAGGCCUUCGGGUUGUAAAGGACUUUUGUCAGGGAGGAAAUCCCUAGCGUUAAUACCGCUGGGGGAUGACAGUACCUGAAGAAUAAGCACCGGCUAACUACGUGCCAGCAGCCGCGGUAAUACGUAGGGUGCGAGCGUUAUCCGGAUUUAUUGGGUUUAAAGGGUGCGUAGGUGGUUUGAUAAGUCAGCGGUGAAAGUUUGCAGCUUAACUGUAAAAAUGCCGUUGAAACUGUCGGACUUGAGUGUAAAUGAGGUAGGCGGAAUGCGUGGUGUAGCGGUGAAAUGCAUAGAUAUCACGCAGAACUCCGAUUGCGAAGGCAGCUUACUAAG